UACGAGAUGUGCGAGCGUUGUUCGGAAUUACUGGGCAUAAAGGGUUCGUAGGCGGUCUGGCAAGUUAGGUGUGAAAUCCCUCGGCUUAACCGGGGAAUUGCAUUUAAUACUACCAGACUUGAGGGUGAAAGGGGCAAGUGGAAUUCCAGGUGUAGCGGUGGAAUGCGCAGAUAUCUGGGAGAACGCCAAAGGCGAAGGCAGCUUGCUGGGUCACUUCUGACGCUGAGUGAACGAAAGCUAGGGGA
rnacentral:rRNA from 1 species